rnacentral:lncRNA from 1 species
CUGGAACAUUCAUCACAUCUCUUUUUCUUCUGUUCACAAGGGGACGAGGGACCACUUUAUCAUCGUCCAUCCCAGUGUUUGGGAGCCACUGUCUGCAUCCCUUGCCAGCCCCCUCUGUAUAGGAGCUGGACCACAGCACAGCCUUGGAAACAGACACUUGAUGGCCUCAGAAUUGAAGCUCCUCUCUGACUUUGGCCCAUUGUUCUAGAACAUAAGCGAUAUCCGUGAUUCUCGCCUUUCUUCAGAGGAGUUCCCUGCCAGGAGCCUCCUGGACUCUCAUGCAGGGUCCACCACUAAGUUUGUGCUCAAAGAUUUUUGCAGGCUGAAGGAGCAGCUGCCAUUGUGAUGUCAAGAUCAUCUCUGAACGUCUCUGUUUCCAUCAAAAAGAAUUUAUUGGGAGAAGAAUUAGGCAAUGUUUCAAAGUUUCUUGGAUAAGUUUCUAGUGAGCUCUGGAUGCUUAAAAG